rnacentral:tRNA from 1 species
GGAAGGGUCGCAUAGCUGGUCUAGUGCGCUGCACUCGAAAUGCAGUAUUCGCGCAAGCGAAUCGUGGGUUCGAAUCCCACCCCUUCCGCCA